AUGGAAGUUAGGCCCUUGAUUUUAGGAUCGGAUUUUUCUAAAUGGCUCUUCAAUGAAUUUACAGGUGUUGCGCAAGUUGUGUCAGAAGGUAUGGACGACACUACAAUUGAUCUCAGCCAACUGGAGACAGGCCGUUCAGUCCCGUCAACUCCAUUACAAGUAUCACCUCAAGGAGAAGGGAGUGGAGAAAUCGGGCAAAGUGAAGAAGACAAUUUUAAUGAAGAAGAACCUCAAGAACGUAACGAGUCCGAAUCUGCUCAAGACGCCAUCAAUGAUAUGUGCGAUGAUGAUGAUGACGAUAACAAUGAAGAUAUUGGAAAUGAUAAUCGUGAUAAUGAUUCCCCCGAGUUGAUCAUUCUUGACAUAAAUGAUGAUAAUGGAGAUGAGGUAACUUCAGAAGGGGAAAAAACUCAAGCAAGUGGCUCAGGUAGUCAAGGGAGUGGCGUUGAAGAAGAAGGAAGAGAAGCAGAGGCAGCAACUGAAAGGAUCAUCGUUCAGUUGGGAGCGAGAGGCAACACAGCGCGCAGAGUCAGGAGUGGAUUCUCUAACAGAGCAGGAAGGAGCAAUCGCCAGCCUCCUACGCCCAUUGUAUGGGAUGAAGUGCCCUCUACCGCCAUUGCACUUUCUUCUCAAAGGGGUGCAAGGGGAGGUCGAAAUGUCCCUCCCAAUGUUUUAGGAGAAAGUCCCGAUUUGCAGCGAGGGUCAUUUAGAGGACGCAGACUGCGUUCUAGAGGAGCUUAUCACUAUCAACCCAGAUUCUAAUCGAGCUGUCAUAAAGCAUCUUCUCAGUCAACAAAUUUCAAAAAAUGAAAGUAGGUCUCAUGGCUUAUUCCAGUUGUCCAUAAGUUUGACCUGGUCUGAACAAAUUCCUAGAUGAAUCAUAAGAUAAGUUCUCACAGGAUCUUCUCUAAUUUAUUAAAAUUGUACAAUUUAACUGGCUGUAUGUAUGAUCUUUGCUUACAAUUAUUCUAGUGUGUUGCGCUUUGAGCUCAAUGUAAAAACAACUUAUACCAAAUUAGACAUGAAUGAGGUAAUUGUUUCCUACCAAGUGAGAAAUACUGAAACAUUUCUCCAAAAAAUAUGUACAACACUCCUUGGAAUUUUUUUUGUCUUUUACAGUAAGACCUCAAUUUACUAGACUAGAAUUUAAUGAAUUUAUCCGAUCUCUUCAAGGGCUCCAAGCCAAUUCGAAUUAACAGAUUCCGCAAUUAUUAAAGCGACUCAUUAGCCCUGCGAAAUCUGGUAAAUCAAGGUCUCACUGAUCCUAGUUAUUUUCUAUAAAUUAAUUCUUCUUAAUUGUACAAUGUGCUUUUCAUUGGAUACCAUUUACUUGCUAUCCUAUGCUCUGCCUCAUCCCAAUUACUUUAUUUUUUUCAUCUCUUUGGUUUGAGUUCAUAAGCCUCAUUGUUCUUACUUUGGCUUUUCUGUUUGCAAUUUUCUUCAAAAGUUUGUACCGACCUUGACAGAGUGACCAGAUUAGGCUCUAAAAAUAAUAAUUCUCGAUAGUUGGAGAACUAGACCCGAAUUUUGUCGGCAGGUUUGCGGUCAGCUGCAAAUUGAGGCUAGAAUGUUGACAUUGUUAUUUGAUCGCCGGUUAAUGGUCUGUAAUGUUGAAAACUAAAGAGGGCUUGAGCCCGCCACAAAAAAGCUCAACUUUGGCAUAGCUUAAGUUUAAAAUAUACUUUUCCCGAUUUAAAGUCAGUUUAGGUUUUGCAACUUUCAAGGGACCGCAGCCAACAAAAUUUGGGCCUUUGUGGACAGAACAAUGUUAUAGUGUUGUCAUUGUAGUGCAAAGCACAUAAGUGAUUUCAUCCUGUAUCAUUUGAUAAGGAAGUAAGCAAUGUCACAACUACUCAAAAUUUUGAUUUGCACUUCUCAAACUGUCUAUUGUCUCUUGCACAAAUUGCCUAGUCUAUGUGUUUUCAACUCAUCAACUGCCUCGUAUCAUAGAAACAAGGCACUCUCUUGUUUCCUUAAUGUAACCUUUUAAGUACGAGCCCAAGACUACAGUUUCCAUGAUCCUUAGACUAUCAAACCCAGAAAUUUGGGGAUUUCCCUAAAGAAUUCAAAUCUUUGCUUUUUUCCAAUGGAAUAGGCUGCAAUUCGUUUGCAGGACAACCAGUUUCUGCUGAGAGGAGUGCAUUCUACGAGUCUAGCCUGGUAAUGACAGGGUUACUGGCAGAAUUUUUUCAUUGUUAUGCCUCUUAAUAGAGCUUUGACCAGAAAAAUUUAGAAAAUCUUGGUUUGAAAAAAGAAAUGAAAAAAGUUGGAAAAGUUGGAGAAUUUUCUUUUCCUUAGUUUGUAGACCCACUUGUUGUUCCAUGAUUCCGGUGGGUUGUAAGUAAAUUGUCUGCUGUGACAAAGCUGGCCUGGCAUGGCAGCUGAUGAGUUAAAAUAAUCUGGAAAUUCAACUUGACAAAAAAUUUGCUAACAAAUGAUAAAUUUGAGAACUGAAAGUUUAGAAUUAGGCAAGCAUAGAACAUCAGCAAUAUCAAGAAGAAAACCCAAUAACUGUUCUUAAAAAAAAAAAAAAAAAUUGAUGCUUUCUUUGUGAGGCAAGUGCAGUGUGCUUGUCGGGACAUUUAUCUGUUUGUACGCAGAGGUAGGACUGGUAAAUUUCAAUUCUUUUAAAAAAUUAAUGCCUCUGUUUUAAGGCCCUCCCUAUUAUUGAUAAAUAGAGUCCAUGCCAGAUAAGUUUUCUCACUUUUAGCUUAAGACAGAAAUCCGUCAUCUUGAUUCUUGCAUUUACUGUCCAAGCUAAAUCUUCUGGAACAGCUUAAAAGUGCAUAAAUUUAUCUGGCGUGGACUUCAAUAGAUGCAAAAUUUGUAAUGAAAGAUGCAGACCUCAUGCAUUGUAAUUACACAAUGUCAGUUUUAAUUUGAUCCUGUUUUACACCAAUGUUAAUUUUAGAAAACCUUUCAAUGAAAAAAAAAAUCAAAUGUGAUAUUAAUUAUGUGUUUCCUGGAUGUAGAUUUAUAGAUACCUAAACUGAAUUGUAUUUUAUUGUAUAUAUGUUUCUUUUUUCCAGUGAACGAGUUCUAAUAAAUAAAAAAUAAUUUUUUUAUAUUCUGUUUGUGUUCUGCUCAUACUUCCAAUAUCAGGAUCUGCCUUGUAAAAAAUAAUUUGCUUGCACUAUUUUUAUUUGAAAUGUUGAAGAGGUAACUUCUGAAAAGAUAUUGAAUUUUCCUCUCAACGUAAGAUGAAACAAGGAGUUAAAUCAUAGUGAAUGCUCG
rnacentral:lncRNA from 1 species